rnacentral:rRNA from 1 species
GACGAACGCUGGCGGCGUGCUUAACACAUGCAAGUCGAACGGAAAGGCCCUGCUUUUGUUGGGUGCUCGAGUGGCGAACGGGUGAGUAACACGUGAGUAACCUGCCCUUGACUUUGGGAUAACUUCAGGAAACUGGGGCUAAUACCGGAUAGGAGCUCCUGCUGCAUGGUGGGGGUUGGAAAGUUUCGGCGGUUGGGGAUGGACUCGCGGCUUAUAAGCUUGUUGGUGGGGUAGUGGCUUACCAAGGCUUUGACGGGUAGCCGGCCUGAGAGGGUGACCGGCCACAUUGGGACUGAGAUACGGCCCAGACUCCUACGGGAGGCAGCAGUGGGGAAUAUUGCACAAUGGGCGGAAGCCUGAUGCAGCAACGCCGCGUGCGGGAUGACGGCCUUCGGGUUGUAAACCGCUUUCGCCUGUGACGAAGCGUGAGUGACGGUAAUGGGUAAAGAAGCACCGGCUAACUACGUG